rnacentral:rRNA from 1 species
UACGUAGGGGGGCAAGCGUUGUCCGGAAUCAUUGGGCGUAAAGAGCGCGUAGGCGGUCCGGUAAGUCCGCUCUGAAAGUCCCGGGGGCUCAACCCCGGGAGGCGGGCGGAUACUGUCGGGCUAGAGUCCGGAAGAGGCGAGUGAAUUCCUGGUGUAGCGGUGAAAUGCGCAGAUAUCAGGAGGAACACCAAUGGCGAAGGCAGCUCGCUGGGACGGUACUGACGCUGAGGCGCGAAAGCGUGGGGAGCAAACAGG